AGGCUUUUAAAAUAAAGAAGAUACGGAUUAGAACUAUGAAAUUAUAUAUCAUUGACUACCAAAAUCUUCAAAAAAUUUCUUUUGUACAAUUUCGCAGCUUACCUAGACAUAAAUCACAAGUUAACUUGAUUUAUGCAUUGUUUAACCAGAGUUGUUCUGAAAACUUCAUUUUAUUUAGACAAGCAAAGGCAAAAUAAAAGUAUCACUUUUGAUUUCCUCGUAUGUUGUUGUAACUAUUGUAAGUUUCUAACAUUUGGUUCAUCAAGUUACAGUUUUUAUAAGCGAAAGAUGAAGCUGUGUCCCCACUAAAAAUAUCAUUCCGGUAUUUCAAUUACAGGAUUUUGGAUUUUGGUCCAUUAGUUUCCUUUGUGGGAGAAUGACGUAUAUAUACAUAAGAAUAGGGUAUAUUUACAAAAUAUGAUGAUACAUUUCAGUUUACAAAACAUAACAAUAGAUUUCUUACAAAACAUAUAUGAAUAUUUUCGCUCAAGGCAUAAAAGUUUCGCUCAAAAUUUGUGUAUGAAAUGUGUAUAUCUCGCUCAAGGCUUAAAAAUUUGGCGUAAUAUUUUGUGUAUGAAAACUGUAUGAAAUAUGUAUACCUCGCUCAAGGAUUAGAAUUCUCAUAAUUUUCAUGUUUGAAAAUUGUAUAAAAAUGGUAUGAAAUAUGUAUGUAAGUAUAUAAAAUACAACAAUAUUGUAUACAACUUUCAUACACAUUUAAUACAAUUUUAAAUCUCGCUUCGAAAUGCAUAUGAAAUUUAAUACAACUACAACAACAUUGUAUACAACUUUCAUACAAUAUUAAUACACAUUUAGUACAAAUGUUUCUUCUUGUUAAAUGUACAAAAAGAGAAUUAACACUAAAAAGAUAAUUUACAUCUCCAUUUCUCUGAUUUGUUGAGUAGUGUGUCUCUGAUUUACGGGUCGGAGAGAAUAACAUUUUAGUAGGGUUUGCGUUUUGAUCCAUAACCCAAAAAACUCAUAAAUGUAAGAAAGAUCCAAAACUCAAUAAAUUCAAACAAAAAACUCCUAUGUCAAUUCAACUGAAACAGUAGAUCUAAUCUAGAAUGGUAGCAAAAAUGAAGAAAGCAAGGAGAGGAUGGGAUGUGAAGGAGGACAACAAUGCCCUGUAUAUAAAAAUGGACAUGCCUGGGCUUCACAAGGAGUAUGUGAAGGUAUCAGUGAUAAAUAUCAAAGGAGAAGGCGAGAAAGAAUCGGAAGACGAAGAGUAUAGAAGCAGGUAUUCAACUAGGCUGGAAAUUCCUCAAAAUUUGUAUAAAUUGGAUGAGAUUAAGGCAGAGGGAAGGGCUGAGCUUUUUAACUUUCCAGAUCCGUUAUGUUUUGUAAUUAUGUUGGUAUGGUUUGUAAAUAAGGAAAAGUAUCCUUAUAUUUUGUAAUAUAGAAUCUUAAGUA